rnacentral:ncRNA from 2 species
UAUUGAGCAAGUAUCUGUAAGCCAUUUGCAACCACUGAUGGGAGGAACAGAGAGCAGCAUUUCAGAACCAGGUUCUCCUUCGAGGAACAGAGAAAAUGAAACCAGCAGACAGAAUUUGUCAGAAUGUAAGGUAUGGAGAAACCCUCUAAAUCUUUUCAGAGGAGCAGAAUAUAGGAGCUGUGCCACUGCAUAUGUUCUACUGGCUGAGGAAGAAGCAACAACUAUUGUAGAUGCUGAAAGGUUAUUUAAACAGGCACUCAAGGCAGGAGAAACAAUUUAUAGGCAGUCACAGCAGUGCCAGCACCAAAGUCCUCAGCAUGAAGCUCAAC